AGGAAUAUUGGUCAAUGGGCGCGAGCCUGAACCAGCCAAGUAGCGUGAAGGAUGAAGGUCCUAUGGAUUGUAAACUUCUUUUAUACGGGAAUAAAGUGGUCCACGUGUGGGCUUUUGCAUGUACCGUAUGAAUAAGCAUCGGCUAACUCCGUGCCAGCAGCCGCGGUAAUACGGAGGAUGCGAGCGUUAUCCGGAUUUAUUGGGUUUAAAGGGAGCGCAGACGGGGGAUUAAGUCAGUUGUGAAAGUUUGCGGCUCAACCGUAAAAUUGCAGUUGAUACUGGUUCCCUUGAGUGCAGUUGAGGCAGGCGGAAUUCGUGGUGUAGCGGUGAAAUGCAUAGAUAUCACGAAGAACCCCGAUUGCGAAGGCAGCCUGCUAAGCUGUAACUGACGUUGAGGCUCGAAAGUGUGGGUAUCAAACAGGAUUAGAUACCCUGGUAGUCCACACGGUAAACGAUGGAUACUCGCUGUUGGCGAUAUACUGUCAGCGGCCAAGCGAAAGCAUUAAGUAUCCCACCUGGGGAGUACGCCGGCAACGGUGAAACUCAAAGGAAUUGACGGGGGCCCGCACAAGCGGAGGAACAUGUGGUUUAAUUCGAUGAUACGCGAGGAACCUUACCCGGGCUUAAAUUGCAGACGAAUUACUUGGAAACAGGUAAGCCGCAAGGCGUCUGUGAAGGUGCUGCAUGGUUGUCGUCAGCUCGUGCCGUGAGGUGUCGGCUUAAGUGCCAUAACGAGCGCAACCCUCGUGGCCAGUUACUAGCAGGUAACGCUGAGGACUCUGGCCAGACUGCCAUCGUAAGAUGCGAGGAAGGUGGGGAUGACGUCAAAUCAGCACGGCCCUUACGUCCGGGGCUACACACGUGUUACAAUGGGAGGUACAGAAGGCAGCUACCCGGCGACGGGAUGCCAAUCUCCAAAGCCUCUCUCAGUUCGGACUGGAGUCUGCAACCCGACUCCACGAAGCUGGAUUCGCUAGUAAUCGCGCAUCAGCCACGGCGCGGUGAAUACGUUCCCG
rnacentral:rRNA from 1 species